rnacentral:rRNA from 1 species
GAUCAUGGCUCAGGAUGAACGCUGGCGGCGUGCCUAACACAUGCAAGUCGAGCGAAGCGCCUGGAAGUUUUCGGACAGAAGGGCGACUGAGCGGCGGACGGGUGAGUAACGCGUGGGUAAUCUGCCUCAUACAGGGGAAUAACAGCUAGAAAUGGCUGCUAAUGCCGCAUAAGCGCACAGGACCGCAUGGUCUGGUGUGAAAAACUCCGGUGGUAUGAGAUGAACCCGCG